rnacentral:rRNA from 1 species
GGACCCGCACAAGUAGUGGAGCAUGUGGUUUAAUUCGAAGAUACGCGCAGAACCUUACCAACACUUGACAUGUUCGUCGCGACUUUAAGAGAUUAAAGUUUUCGGUUCGGCCGGACGAAACACAGGUGCUGCAUGGCUGUCGUCAGCUCGUGUCGUGAGAUGUUGGUUAAGUCCCGCAACGAGCGCAACCCUCAUUUUUAGUUGCCAUCAUUAAAGUUGGGCACUCUGAAAAAACUGCCAGUGAUAAGCUGGAGGAAGGUGGGGAUGACGUCAAGUCCUCAUGGCCCUUACGUGUUGGGCUACACACGUGCUACAAUGGUAUCUACAACAGGAAGCAAAACGGCGACGUUAAG